CCUACGGGGAGCAGCAGUGGGGAAUAUUGGACAAUGGGCGAAAGCCUGAUCCAGCCAUGCCGCGUGUGUGAAGAAGGCCUUCGGGUUGUAAAGCACUUUCAGUGGGGAAGAAAGCCUUGGGGCUAAUACCCUCGAGGAAGGACAUCACCCACAGAAGAAGCACCGGCUAACUCCGUGCCAGCAGCCGCGGUAAUACGGAGGGUGCGAGCGUUAAUCGGAAUUACUGGGCGUAAAGCGCGCGUAGGCGGUCUGAUAAGCCGGUUGUGAAAGCCCCGGGCUCAACCUGGGAACGGCAUCCGGAACUGUCAGGCUAGAGUGCAGGAGAGGAAGGUAGAAUUCCCGGUGUAGCGGUGAAAUGCGUAGAGAUCGGGAGGAAUACCAGUGGCGAAGGCGGCCUUCUGGACUGACACUGACGCUGAGGUGCGAAAGCGUGGGUAGCAAACAGGAUUAGAUACCCCGGUAAUC
rnacentral:rRNA from 1 species